AGGACGAACGCUGGCGGCGUGCUUAACACAUGCAAGUCGAGCGGUAAGGCCUCUUCGGGGGUACACGAGCGGCGAACGGGUGAGUAACACGUGGGCGACCUGCCCUCAGCUCUGGGAUAAGCCUGGGAAACUGGGUCUAAUACCGGAUAUGACCUUCUCUCGCAUGGGGGGUUGGUGGAAAGUCCUGGGCUUUUGUCUGGGUUCGGCUGGGGAUGGGCCCGCGGCCUAUCAGCUUGUUGGUGGGGUGAUGGCCUACCAAGGCGACGACGGGUA
rnacentral:rRNA from 1 species